GAUGAACGCUGGCGGCGUGCCUAAUACAUGCAAGUCGAGCGAACAGACGAUGAGCUUGCUCCUCUGACGUUAGCGGCGGACGGGUGAGUAACACGUUGAUAACCUACCUAUAAGACUGGGAUAACUUCGGGAAACCGGAGCUAAUACCGGAUAAUAUAUUGAACCGCAUGGUUCAAUAGUGAAUGACGGUUUUGCUGUCACUUAUAGCUGGAUCCGCGCCGCAUUAGCUAGUUGGUAAGGUAACGGCUUACCAAGGCAACGAUGCGUAGCCGACCUGAGAGGGUGAUCGGCCACACUGGAACUGAGACACGGUCCAGACUCCUACGGGAGGCAGCAGUAGGGAAUCUUCCGCAAUGGGCGAAAGCCUGACGGAGCAACGCCGCGUGAGUGAUGAAGGUCUUCGGAUCGUAAAACUCUGUUAUUAGGGAAGAACAAAUGUGUAAGUAACUAUGCACGUCUUGACGGUACCUAAUCAGAAAGCCACGGCUAACUACGUG
rnacentral:rRNA from 1 species